GCGCAGCAGUCGAGAAUCUUCCACAAUGGACGAAAGUCUGAUGGAGCGACGCCGCGUGGUUGAUGAAGUCCUUCGGGACGUAAAGACCUUUUAUGAGGGAGGAAGUAAUUGACGUUACCUCAUGAAUAAGGGGCUCCUAACUCUGUGCCAGCAGGAGCGGUAAUACAGAGGCCCCAAGCAUUAUCCGGAAUCACUGGGCGUAAAGGGUGUGUAGGCGGUUGUAUUAGUCCUUCGUGAAGACUCUCGGGCCUAACCCGGGAAA
rnacentral:rRNA from 1 species